rnacentral:tRNA from 1 species
GGAGAUGUAGCUCAGUUGGUAGAGUGCUUGCCUUGUCUGAAGGAGGCCCUGGGUUCAAUCCCCAGCACCA